rnacentral:rRNA from 1 species
AACGCUAGCUACAGGCUUAACACAUGCAAGUCGAGGGGCAGCAUGAUUUGUAGCAAUACAGAUUGAUGGCGACCGGCGCACGGGUGAGUAACGCGUAUGCAACUUACCUAUCAGAGGGGGAUAGCCCGGCGAAAGUCGGAUUAAUACCCCAUAAAACAGGGGUCCCGCAUGGGAAUAUUUGUUAAAGAUUCAUCGCUGAUAGAUAGGCAUGCGUUCCAUUAGGCAGUUGGCGGGGUAACGGCCCACCAAACCGACGAUGGAUAGGGGUUCUGAGAGGAAGGUCCCCCACAUUGGUACUGAGACACGGACCAAACUCCUACGGGAGGCAGCAGUGAGGAAUACUGGUCAAUGGGCGGAAGCCUGAACCAGCCAAGUAGCGUGAAGGAUGACUGCCCUAUGGGUUGUAAACUUCUUUUAUACGGGAAUAAAGUGAGGCACGCGUGCCUUUUUGUAUGUACCGUAUGAAUAAGGACCGGCUAAUUCCGUGCCAGCAGCCGCGGUAAUACGGAAGGUCCAGGCGUUAUCCGGAUUUAUUGGGUUUAAAGGGAGCGUAGGCCGUCUGUUAAGCGUGUUGUGAAAUGUAGAUGCUCAACAUCUGAAUUGCGGCGCGAACUGGCAGACUUGAGUGUGCGCAACGUAGGCGGAAUUCGUGGUGUAGCGGUGAAAUGCUUAGAUAUCACGAAGAACUCCGAUUG